GCACAGCUUCCCGAGCCGACUGCGCCCCCCCGCAUCCCCUAGGGCAUUGGUGUGGAGCUGGAGACCCACUGCCCCAGGUGCUGCUGGGGGUUGUAGUCCAACCGCCGGGGGAGAGGG
rnacentral:precursor_RNA from 12 species